rnacentral:rRNA from 1 species
AGUGAACGCUGGCGGCAGGCCUAACACAUGCAAGUCGAACGAACCUUUCGGGGUUAGUGGCGGACGGGUGAGUAACACGUGGGAACGUGCCUGUAGGUUUGGAAUAACUCAGGGAAACUUGUGCUAAUAUCGAAUGUGCUCUUCGGGGGAAAGAUUAAUCGCCCUUAGAGCGGCCGGCGUCCGAUUAGCUAGUUGGUUGAGGUAAUGGCUCACCAAGGCGACGUUCUGUAGAUGGUCUGAGAGGAUGGGCAGACACAUUGGGACCGGGACGCAGCCCAGAAUCCUACGGAAGGCGGCAAAGGGGGAUCUAGCGCAAUGGGCGGAGGGCUGACGCAGCCAUGCCGCGUAAAUGAUGAAGGUCGUAGAGAUAAAAAGUUCUUUCACCGGGGACGAUAAUGACGGUACCCGGAGAAGAAGCCCCGGCUAACUUCGUG